GAAGGGGAGUUAUACUCAUAACUCUCUCACAGAGUUUAUAGGCUGAGUGCCUCUGUCACUUUUCCCUUCACACCUGGAGGAAAGUCUGAGUCAAGAGCCAUCUGCUGCCUUUGCAUGGCAUCAACAGACACAGGUGAGCAAGUUCUCAGCCAAAUGGGUCUUAUCUGGGAGCCUUGCCAGAUGGAAGAAACAGGCAGAAUCAAGCAUCAGGGUCAGAAAAACGUGUAUUUUUGUGCCAGCUAAUACUGAGGAGGCAUCUCCCACAGGGCUUGAAAUGAGACUCAUGGCUGCCAUUGCUACAUAAGCUUCUAUGGCAAGAGAGAAGAAUAUACCCUAACUGUCUGGUCUAAAAAAAAAAUCCCAUGUUC
rnacentral:RNase_P_RNA from 1 species